rnacentral:rRNA from 1 species
AGCGAACGCUGGCGGCAGGCCUAACACAUGCAAGUCGAGCGGCCGUAGCAAUACGGCAGCGGCAGACGGGAGAGUAACACGUGGGAACGCGCCCUUCGGUUCGGGAUAACCCAGGGAAACUUGGGCUAAUACCGGAUACGCCCUUACGGGGAAAGAUUUAUUGCCGAAGGAACGGCCCGCGUCCGAUUAGCUAGUUGGUGAGGUAACGGCUCACCAAGGCGACGAUCGGUAGCUGGUCUGAGAGGAUGACCAGCCUCACUGGGACUGAGACACGGCCCAGACUCCUACGGGAGGCAGCAGUGGGGAAUAUUGGACAAUGGGCGCAAGCCUGAUCCAGCCAUGCCGCGUGGGUGAUGAAGGCCCUAGGGUUGUAAAGCCCUUUCAGCGGGGAAGAUAAUGACGGUACCCGCAGAAGAAGCCCCGGCUAACUUCGUGC